GGACGUGAGGGCGAUCUGGCUGCGACAUCUGUCACCCCGCUGAUCACCAGGGUUGAUUCAGUUGAUCUGGCUGGCGAGGUGGGUGUCCCCUUCCUCCCUCAACGAUCCAUGUGCGUCCCUCCCAAAGCUGCGCACUCGGUUGAAGAGCACGAUCACCCCCGAUAGAGGAGGACCGUUCCUCGGUCAAGGGUAUAUGAGUAGCAGCGCUCCCCUGCUAGGACCUCCCCCCAAGCUCUCAAGAAUAAAUUCCACAUAAUAAAAAUUACAGAUGAUGGGUCCUGCAGGGUCUUCCAUCUGUGUCCAAAGAACUGAGAGCAUGGCGUGCUCUGCUGUGAAGU
rnacentral:snRNA from 1 species